CUAACUGAAAGACUCUUCCUGCAGAAUACUCAGAGCCCUGUGACUAAGGACUAAGUUCUUUCAGCCAUGGUGACAUGAGACGAAAGGUGGUCUUGAAUCUGGGAGACCUUCCCCGAUGGGGAGCUCAUAUCUUGCACAGCAAGCUCCUUUUCUUCAUCCAAGCACCCUGAGGACACCUCCUACCCCCUAAAAAGGUUUGGAAAUAUAUAAGGAGGUUUUUAGUUAUCACAGUUGACUGGGAAUUGUACUUGGCUUUUAGUGGUCAUGUGAAAAAUGCUUUAUACCACAAACAACUGUCCUGCCUCUAAUGCCAAUUGUGCUUCCAUUAGGAAACAUUCUUUCCUCCCCUCUUCUCCUGUCCUGCCUCUAGCUUAGGUUGUAAACUCUGGGAGAGAAGGGACAAGGUGGACCCUGUUCACCUUAGUGCCUAGAAGAGCACCUUACAUGUAGUGAGUGCUCAGUAGAUACUAUGUGAAUGAAAUGCCACUUAUAUUGACAGUGAUUGAUUGGUGGACAAUAUAAU